rnacentral:rRNA from 1 species
GACAGAGGCCUCGAGCGUUAGGCGGAAUCACUGGGCUUAAAGCGUGUGUAGGCGGAUCGUUAAGUGCCUUGUGAAAUCCCACGGCUUAACUGUGGAACGGCUGGGCAUACUGGCGAUCUUGAGCCAUCUAGGGGCGACUGGAACAAACGGUGGAGCGGUGAAAUGCGUAGAUAUCGUUUGGAACGCCAAUGGUGAAAACAGGUCGCUGGGGAUGAGCUGACGCUGAGACACGAAAGCCAGGGGAGCAAACGGG